rnacentral:lncRNA from 1 species
ACACACACACACACACGCACGCACCCACGCACGCACAGCCCAUCCUUCCUCCAAGGCUCGCGAAUCAUCUCUCCACAAAUCCUGCCUUCGGGGCCGCAGCCUGCAGGCCGACCUCAGUCCGUCCUCACAGAGCCUAGUUGGGUGCACAGCUCUCCCUGACGCGCGAGGAGCAGGUUCACGGGAGUCGGUCGCGCAUCCCCAGCGCCCUGCGGGCCUCGCACCGGCUGUGGCGGUGACCCCGAAUUCUUCCAUCUCUAUGAGAACAAGCCCAUUUUAACUUUCUGGAGGAUAAAAUAGCAUGCUGAGGAAAGCCAAAGUGCGCCAGUUUACAGACAGCUCACUCCCAGAAGCAGAGCCACCUAAUUCACCAGCAUCUGACCACUCACACCUGAAGGAGCCAAACUGAGCCCAGAAGAAUGGCCCAGCUAAGCCCAGCCUAAAUUUCUAACCAGCUCAACCCUGAGCUAGUAUGUUUCAGGAUUGUUAUGCAGUUAUAGCUUAGUAAUAUAUACACCCAUUAAAGACAGGAUUCCAGGAUUCCAGGACAGAUUGAUUACAAAUAACCUGCAAAUGCUUGGCACCCUGUAAGUAUUGAUAUUGUGUUUCCUUUAUUUAAAGUUAAAUUUGUUGUAAGAUGGUAUUGACUUAUAUAGAAGUGAGGCAAGAGAAUAGGGUCUGGAGGCAGGGAACUUAAGGCCAAUUCGUGCUGAAUUCCUAAAGAAGAAACACCAAGGUCUGGGAGCAGGGAACCUAAGGCCAAUUAACGUGAACUUCCUACAUCUAAACCAAAAGGAAAACCUCAUCUACACCUGAGUAGCAAAGGAUCAAAGGUGACUGUUGCUACAACCCUCUCCUUUGCACCAGUUCUCUGAUAGAAAAGGAGAGUGACUUGGAGUGGCCGUGGGCCAAGCACAGGCCAUGCCUUCAUCUGCAUGGGGUACCAAUUCACCUCAGCCUUUGAUUAGCCACGGACCAAAUCUUUCAUCCAGAUAAGGGGUAGCUGAUAGGGACCUCAAAAGGAGUACUUAAAACCCAGAUAACUUUGUAACCGGGUCCUUGAGCUGCUUGCUGGGGCUCACACCCAUCCCGUGGAGUGCUUUCUUGCUUUAAUAAACCCCUGCUUUUGCUGUUUCCUUCA